AUGGAGUGGGACCUUCUAUCGAACUCACCUCUUGCCUUUUACCAGAUGUGACCGUAGUGUGGCCCAAAUUACUCCAUUAGCCCAAUCUUUGGAAUUCCUCGUCUGAGCUUU
rnacentral:snRNA from 1 species